rnacentral:rRNA from 1 species
UACGGAGGGUGCGAGCGUUGUCCGGAAUCAUUGGGCGUAAAGGGCGCGUAGGCGGUACUUCAAGUCAGGCGUGAAAGCCCCGGGCUCAACCUGGGAACCGCGCUUGAGACUGGAGAACUAGAGUUCGGGAGAGGGUGGUGGAAUUCCCAGUGUAGAGGUGAAAUUCGUAGAUAUUGGGAAGAACACCGAUGGCGAAGGCAGCCAUCUGGACCGACACUGACGCUGAGGCGCGAAAGCGUGGGGAGCAAACAGG